UACGUAGGGUCCUAGCGUUGUUCGGAAUUACUGGGCGUAAAGGGAGCGUAGGCGGGAUCGUAAGUUAGAAGUAUAAUCCACCGGCUUAACCGGUGAUCUGCUUUUAAUACUGCGGUUCUUGAGUUUGGAAGAGGGAGAUGGAAUUCCAGGUGUAGCGGUGGAAUGCGUAGAUAUCUGGAAGAACACCAGCAGCGAAGGCGGUCUCCUGGUCCUAUACUGACGCUGAGGCUCGAAAGCUAGGGGAG
rnacentral:rRNA from 1 species